rnacentral:lncRNA from 1 species
CAGCUUUCAUCUGGCUACCCUUUUCAUCUCUCAAGUAUAACCCAGGGAGAUGGAACUGGAGGUGAAAUGAGCACAGGCAUGUCUACUCAUGGAGUUCGUCAGGCAGAGGGAGGGCCUUUGCCAGAAGAUGUGAUUCUGUUCCCCUGCACCCUGAAGACAAGGCAGUGCCAACACAUGACGCAACGAUGUGUCCAUCUCCGUGGAUUCCCGAAUCACAGACAGGUCAGUGCCCCAGCCACAUAGUCAUGAUUCACUUGCUUCUGUUCUGAACUCAGAGUCCUAGAAGCUCUCACUCGGUUCCCUGGGACAGUUAAUAGGUUAUGUUAGCUGAUGCUAAGAAUCAUGUACCCAUGGGUCUUUCUUGUAGUGUCCUUUGCUGAGUAUACAAUCUAGUCCUUCCCAUCCUGGCUUUGAG